CCUUAGCUGUCUUUCAAGCCCAUUAAUCAGUUUCCCAAUCUAGAAGCAGGGCACAGAUGUAGAGAAUCUGCUUUUUCAUACACCUCCUUUCUGUCCUGAGCUCAUGGGUUCCCUGGCAUUAACAACCAAAUUGAAGCCAUCAGUUCCAAAUUAGAAAUGCAGAUAAGCUCUCAUGAGUUUGGCUCUUUGGCAAUGCCCUUUUAGCUACUGAUCAGCCUGAAGCUCUGGUGUUCCGUUCUACCUUUGUCUUUGUGUACUUCUGCGAUCCGGGUGGACUUGUACUGAGGACUUGCACUCUCCCUGAGAAUCUUCUGCUGAUCCUUGCCCAAAAUGUGACAGUGGAACUUCAGUUCUCAACUACAUUUGUUUUUUACUUCUAAACUUGAUGAUUGUAUCUCUUCAGAAUUAAGAAAUCUAAUCACUGAAUCCAAUAGCUUUAUUUAGUGUAAUACAAC
rnacentral:lncRNA from 1 species